rnacentral:rRNA from 1 species
UAGGGAAUCUUCCGCAAUGGGCGAAAGCCUGACGGAGCAACGCCGCGUGAGUGAUGAAGGUCUUCGGAUCGUAAAACUCUGUUAUUAGGGAAGAACAAAUGUGUAAGUAACUAUGCACGUCUUGACGGUACCUAAUCAGAAAGCCACGGCUAACUACGUGCCAGCAGCCGCGGUAAUACGUAGGUGGCAAGCGUUAUCCGGAAUUAUUGGGCGUAAAGCGCGCGUAGGCGGUUUUUUAAGUCUGAUGUGAAAGCCCACGGCUCAACCGUGGAGGGUCAUUGGAAACUGGAAAACUUGAGUGCAGAAGAGGAAAGUGGAAUUCCAUGUGUAGCGGUGAAAUGCGCAGAGAUAUGGAGGAACACCAGUGGCGAAGGCAACUUUCUGGUCUGUAACUGACGCUGAUGUGCGAAAGCGUGGGGAUCAAACAGG